rnacentral:rRNA from 1 species
GAGUAAAGAUUUCGGUCGCUUUGGGAGGAGCUCGCUUACUAUCAGCUUGUUGGUAGGGUAAUGGCCUACCAAGGCUAUGACGGUUAGGGGGUGUGAGAGCAUGACCCCCAGCAUUAGCACUGAAACACUGGCCAAACACCUACGGGUGGCUGCAGUCGAGAAUCUUCCACAAUGGGGGAAACCCUGAUGGAGCGAUGCUGCGUGCGGGAUGAAGGCCUUCGGGUUGUAAACCGCUUUUGUAGGGGACGAAAUUUUUGACGGUACCCUUUCGAAUAAGAGGUUGCUAACUCUGUGCCAGCAGCAGCGGUAAUACAGAGACCUCAAGCGUUAUCCGGAUUUACUGGGCGUAAAGCGUCUGUAGGGGGUUUAUUAAGUUCCAAGUAAAAUUUCAAGGCUCAACUUUGAAUUCGCUUGGAAAACUAAUAAACUGGAGUCUAGCAGAGGUGCAUGGAACUUGUGGUGUAGGAGUGAAAUCCGUUGAUAUCACAAGGAACACCAAAGGCGAAGGCAUUGCACUGGGCUAGCACUGACCCUGAGAGACGAAAGCGUGGGGAGCAAAACGGAUUAGAUACCCGUGUAGUCCACGCCCUAAACGAUGAAUGCUAAAUGUUCGGGGAUUCGACCCCCUGGGUGUUACAGCUAACGCGUUAAGCAUUCCGCCUGGGAAGUACGGCCGCAAGGCUAAAACUCAAAGGAAUAGACGGGGAUCCGCACAAGCGGUGGAGCGGCUGGUUUAAUUCGACAGUAAGCGUGGUACCUCACCAGGGUUUGACAUCCCUUGACAGCCUUGGAAACAAGGUUUCCUUCGGGCAAGGUGACAGGUGCUGCAUGGUCGUCGUCAGUUCGUGCCGUGAGGUGUUCCGUUAAGUCGGGAAACGAACGAAACCCCUAUUGCAUGUUACAAUUUCUCAUGCAAGACUGCCCGGAUAUACUGGGAGGAAGGUGGGGAUGACGUCAGAUCUGCAUGGUCCUUAUACCCUGGGCGACACAGGCGCUACAAUGGCAGAGACAAAGGGUUGCAAAACCGCAAGGUGAAGCUAAUCCCAAAAACUUUGUCUAAGUUCGGAUUGAAGGCUGCAAUUCGCCUUCAUGAAGCUGGAAUCGCUAGUAAUCGUGAAUCAGCCACGUCACGGUGAAUAUGUUCCCGGAUCUUGUACUCACCGCCCGUCACACCAAGAGAGUUGGUAGCUCCCGAAG